CACCAGCCAUGUUUUAAAGUUUGUCAUCCCCUUAAACUUCUUAGGAUCUUUAUUUCGCCCAAGAAUCUUUACAUUUGGGGAAAUAAAAUUUUAAAAAGUGCUUAAUUCAAUAGUGAGGGUUAAAAGUUCAUCUCAGACAUUCUGAGAAAAAUCUGAAACUCUCCUGUUUUAGAGUUGAAAUAAUAAGAUACAUUUAUCAUCUGUAUAAUAUAGUUUUAUGUCCAGUCUAUGGUUCUGAAAAGGCUUUAGACUAGCAUUAAUAUUUGAUAUAAACUGAACUAGGAAAUGGCAACUUAUUAACACAAGCACUUCACCUUAGAUAGUUAUGUUUCUUCGUUCAAAAUUCACUUACAGCAUAAGAUCUUCUUAAAUUUAGAUGUUUAGUAAAUAUGUUAUGACACCAGAGGGCACUGUCUAUUGUAAAUAGCUAUUUCUCCUUUCCAAGUCUGAUAUCUAUGCAAGUGCAUCAUCAUUAAUGUUAUUAUUGUAAAUAAAUAUUUCAAACUGUCUGUAUAGCUUUGUUAUUUCAUACAAACUUAAUUAGCAAACUAUUUUUGUAGCUCAUUCAAUAUACAUUUUGUUAUACCAAAUAUUAAACUUUUAAUUUAUUCAAGUCAA